CUGUGAGCUCGAUGAGUAGGGCGGGACACGUGGUAUCCUGUCUGAAUAUGGGGGGACCAUCCUCCAAGGCUAAAUACUCCUGACUGACCGAUAGUGAACCAGUACCGUGAGGGAAAGGCGAAAAGAACCCCGGCGAGGGGAGUGAAAAAGAACCUGAAACCGUGUACGUACAAGCAGUGGGAGCACGCUUAGGCGUGUGACUGCGUACCUUUUGUAUAAUGGGUCAGCGACUUAUAUUCUGUAGCAAGGUUAACCGAAUAGGGGAGCCGAAGGGAAACCGAGUCUUAACUGGGCGUUAAGUUGCAGGGUAUAGACCCGAAACCCGGUGAUCUAGCCAUGGGCAGGUUGAAGGUUGGGUAACACUAACUGGAGGACCGAACCGACUAAUGUUGAAAAAUUAGCGGAUGACUUGUGGCUGGGGGUGAAAGGCCAAUCAAACCGGGAGAUAGCUGGUUCUCCCCGAAAGCUAUUUAGGUAGCGCCUCGUGAAUUCAUCUCCGGGGGUAGAGCACUGUUUCGGCAAGGGGGUCAUCCCGACUUACCAACCCGAUGCAAACUGCGAAUACCGGAGAAUGUUAUCACGGGAGACACACGGCGGGUGCUAACGUCCGUCGUGAAGAGGGAAACAACCCAGACCGCCAGCUAAGGUCCCAAAGUCAUGGUUAAGUGGGAAACGAUGUGGGAAGGCCCAGACAGCCAGGAUGUUGGCUUAGAAGCAGCCAUCAUUUAAAGAAAGCGUAAUAGCUCACUGGUCGAGUCGGCCUGCGCGGAAGAUGUAACGGGGCUAAACCAUGCACCGAAGCUGCGGCAGCGACGCUUAUGCGUUGUUGGGUAGGGGAGCGUUCUGUAAGCCUGCGAAGGUGUGCUGUGAGGCAUGCUGGAGGUAUCAGAAGUGCGAAUGCUGACAUAAGUAACGAUAAAGCGGGUGAAAAGCCCGCUCGCCGGAAGACCAAGGGUUCCUGUCCAACGUUAAUCGGGGCAGGGUGAGUCGACCCCUAAGGCGAGGCCGAAAGGCGUAGUCGAUGGGAAACAGGUUAAUAUUCCUGUACUUGGUGUUACUGCGAAGGGGGGACGGAGAAGGCUAUGUUGGCCGGGCGACGGUUGUCCCGGUUUAAGCGUGUAGGCUGGUUUUCCAGGCAAAUCCGGAAAAUCAAGGCUGAGGCGUGAUGACGAGGCACUACGGUGCUGAAGCAACAAAUGCCCUGCUUCCAGGAAAAGCCUCUAAGCAUCAGGUAACAUCAAAUCGUACCCCAAACCGACACAGGUGGUCAGGUAGAGAAUACCAAGGCGCUUGAGAGAACUCGGGUGAAGGAACUAGGCAAAAUGGUGCCGUAACUUCGGGAGAAGGCACGCUGAUAUGUAGGUGAAGUCCCUCGCGGAUGGAGCUGAAAUCAGUCGAAGAUACCAGCUGGCUGCAACUGUUUAUUAAAAACACAGCACUGUGCAAACACGAAAGUGGACGUAUACGGUGUGACGCCUGCCCGGUGCCGGAAGGUUAAUUGAUGGGGUCAGCGCAAGCGAAGCUCUUGAUCGAAGCCCCGGUAAACGGCGGCCGUAACUAUAACGGUCCUAAGGUAGCGAAAUUCCUUGUCGGGUAAGUUCCGACCUGCACGAAUGGCGUAAUGAUGGCCAGGCUGUCUCCACCCGAGACUCAGUGAAAUUGAACUCGCUGUGAAGAUGCAGUGUACCCGCGGCAAGACGGAAAGACCCCGUGAACCUUUACUAUAGCUUGACACUGAACAUUGAGCCUUGAUGUGUAGGAUAGGUGGGAGGCUUUGAAGUGUGGACGCCAGUCUGCAUGGAGCCGACCUUGAAAUACCACCCUUUAAUGUUUGAUGUUCUAACGU
rnacentral:rRNA from 1 species